GCGUAUAUUAAAGUUGUUGUGGUUAAAAAGCUCGUAGUUGAACCUUGGGCCUGGCUGGCCGGUCCCCCUCACCGGGUGCACUGAUCCAGCCGGGCCUUUCCCUCUGUGGAACCCCAUGGCCUUCACUGGCUGUGGCGGGGAAACAGGACUUUUACUUUGAAAAAAUUAGAGUGCUCCAGGCAGGCCUAUGCUCGAAUACAUUAGCAUGGAAUAAUAGAAUAGGACGUGUGGUUCUAUUUUGUUGGUUUCUAGGACCGCCGUAAUGAUUAAUAGGGACAGUCGGGGGCAUCAGUAUUCAAUUGUCAGAGGUGAAAUUCUUGGAUCUAUUGAAGACUAACUACUGCGAAAGCAUUUGCCAAGGAUGUUUUCAUUGAUAAGGAACGAAAGUUAGGGGAUCGAAGACGAUCAGAUACCGUCGUAGUCUUAA
rnacentral:rRNA from 1 species